rnacentral:rRNA from 1 species
UACGUAGGGGGCAAGCGUUGUCCGGAAUCAUUGGGCGUAAAGCGCGCGUAGGCGGCCAGGUAAGUCCGUUCUGAAAGCCCGGGGCUCAACCCCGGGAGGCGGAUGGAUACUGCUUGGCUCGAGUCCGGAAGAGGCGAGUGGAAUUCCCGGUGUAGCGGUGAAAUGCGCAGAUAUCGGGAGGAACACCAAUGGCGAAGGCAGCUCGCUGGGACGGUACUGACGCUGAGACGCGAAAGCGUGGGGAGCAAACAGG